rnacentral:rRNA from 1 species
UACGUAGGGUGCAAGCGUUGUCCGGAAUUAUUGGGCGUAAAGAGCUCGUAGGCGGUUUGUCGCGUCGAAUGUGAAAACCCGGGGCUCAACCCCGGGCCUGCAUUCGAUACGGGCAGACUAGAGUUCGGUAGGGGAGUCUGGAAUUCCUGGUGUAGCGGUGAAAAUGCGCAGAUAUCAGGAGGAACACCGGUGGCGAGGGCGGGACUCUGGGCCGAUACUGACGCUGAGGAGCGAAAGCGUGGGGAGCAAACAGG